rnacentral:siRNA from 1 species
AGAUUGUGCAGUUUGAGCUACCUG